UGGCGGACGGGUGAGUAACGCGUGGGAAAACCUGCCGUAUACUGGGGGAUAACACUUAGAAAUAGGUGCUAAUACCGCAUAAGCGCACAGCUUCGCAUGAAGCGGUGUGAAAAACUCUGGUGGUAUACGAUGGUUCCGCGUCUGAUUAGCUAGUUGGUGGGGUAAUGGCCUACCAAGGCAACGAUCAGUAGCCGGCCUGAGAAGGUGAACGGCCACAUUGGGACUGAGACACGGCCCAAACUCCUACGGGAGGCAGCAG
rnacentral:rRNA from 1 species